AGGGGGAGCACAGGAUCCUGGGCUGUGUCCCCAGCGCCCUGGGAUCCAGGGCCUGCGCUGGGAUCGCGCUCCCAGGGCCGCGCAGCCCCCU
rnacentral:pre_miRNA from 1 species